rnacentral:rRNA from 2 species
CCGGCGAGGGGAGUGAAAAAGAACCUGAAACCGUGUACGUACAAGCAGUGGGAGCCCCACCACUAAGCCAGUGGUGAACUCCACAUCCGCAUCCUUUGCUGAGGAUACGGUUAACGGAGCGAAAGCGACGUUCAACCGCAAAACAAGCAGAGGGGGCUUAGUGGUGGGGUGACUGCGUACCUUUUGUAUAAUGGGUCAGCGACUUAUAUUCUGUAGCAAGGUU